GCACAGGCGCGGGCAACCGCUCCGGAAAUCUAGAUCCGGGGAGGAAAGUCCGGGCUCCGCAGGGCAGGAUGCUGGAUAACGUCCAGUCGGGGCGACCCGAAGGAAAGUGCCACAGAAAAUAUACCGCCCCUAAGGAGAAAUCCGAAGGGGUAAGGGUGAAAUGGCGAGGUAAGAGCUCACCGCGGACCGGGCGACCGGGACGGCAGGGCAAACCCCAUCCGGAGCAAGGCCAAAUAGAGGGACGUACGAGGGCUGCCCGCCCCAUGUCCCCGGGUAGGCUGCUUGAGGUCCGGAGCAAUCCGGAUCCCAGAGGAAUGGUUGCCGCCCCCUUCGGGGGGAGACAGAACCCGGCUUACAGCGCCCGUGCGCGU
rnacentral:RNase_P_RNA from 1 species